ACUCUUCUAUCUCCUGACUUUCUCAAUUUUGUCCAUUGACCGACAACCACCAUCAUCGUGCUAGGCAACUGGGAGCCUGGGGUUCAACACCUUGCCGGAGCCAAGGUUAGAUCUCCAUCCUCUAUUUUGAUUUGGUGAAGACUUUUGAGGAACACAAACAAAAUGUUUAGAUCUCCAUCCUCUGUUUAGAUCUCCUGUUGUCGAUGGUGUAAUUGUUGAUUUGUUGUUUAGAUAUGAUGUAUUAGAGACAUUGAAAAUCUAGAAACCAUACACAAACCAUAGUAACUCCAAAGUAUCUGUCAGACAUAUAUUUUUCAUCAUCGAUGUAAGAGUUU
rnacentral:lncRNA from 1 species